CUAGCUGCCAUCUUGGGAGAUGCCCAAGCCACACUCAGGCCACACGGAGGAGAAUGGAAUUGCUUUAAUCAACAGCUCCCAGCUGCCAGCCAUCUAGGUCCCGGCUAGGAGAAGGACGUCGCAUCUCAUUGUCCUCCCAGCUUUUCGACCUUCCCCCGAAGCCCCUCAAUAAAAUGGAUUGAUCUCA